AAUCCUUGUAACCAUUGGACACCUAAAACCAUGUCACAAGCUGCCAACACUAAAACAUACAUAUCAAGUAAAAACUCAACUCCUUGAAUCCCAACUUGUACUCCCUUCACCUUACCUUCACUGUCUACUAACUCCCCAUUAGCCACCUUAACCCUGACCUUAUCCUCUGCUACUAUGGGUAUGGAAACCCUUGAAAGCACUGCUGGAUCCAGGAAAUUAUGGGUACUUCCCGAAUCAAUGAGAAUAACGACCCACUUAGGGCCAAUCUUCCCCUUCACCCGCAUAGUCUUUGGGCCCAAUGAGCCAAUAAUAGCCUGUAAGGAAAUCUCUGGAGUCUUUUGCAUGUCCUGUCUGACCUCACACACACCUUCUUUGUCAAUCUGGACAGAACACUGACCCGUGUCUUCCACUGUCUCCUCCUCCUCCUCUACAACUUCUUCAAUUAAAUAAAGUUUUGGGCUAUUGCAUCGGUGUCCUGGGUGCCAUUUCGAAUCGCAAUGGUAACACAAGCCUUUUUCUCUUCUUAUUUUCAUUUGAUUUGGGCUGAUUUUCUGCACUGGUACUAUUGCCUUGUUAUAUGGUUGGUGAUUUUCUGAAGGGUUGGGGUUCUGUGGUGGUUGGUAUUUGAAUGAGGCUGGUUCAAUAUUUUGGGACAGGUUUGGUCGCGGGUUUGGCUUUUUAUGGAGGGAUAGUUUUUCUUCUUGAAUUCUAGCCAGCCUAUAAGCUGUGAGUAGGGUGUGAGGGUUAAACAUUUUAACCGUCAAACGGAUAUCGUCUUUUAAUCCACUGAUAAAGCAACUUAGUUUGUCACUUUCAUCCAAACGCCUUAGCCUAUUGGCAAUCAGCUCAAAGGCAGUCUUAUACUCCUCAACCGAACCCAUCUGCCUUAGUCUAGUAAUUUGUUCCACCGGAUCAUCAUAGCUACUAGGGCCAAAACGGAUCAGUAAAGCAUUCACAAAAUCAUCCCAUUCAGUUAACAACCCAGACUCAUCAAGGCCUUGAAACCAAACCAAAGCCUUUCCCACCAUGUGAAAUGAUACCAAACGUAAACGGUGGUGAGGUAAAGUAUUGUGAAAUGCAAAGAACUGUUUUACCUUGUACAGCCAGCCUUGUGGAUCAUCCCCAUCAAAGUUUGGAAAGUCAAUCCGUACGGAUCGAAGCUGUAUGUCACCCGCUUGAGGCAGCAUGUGUUGUCCACUGUUUUCUCCAUGGUUGCUGCUUUUUGCAUGUGAUUUUUGCAUCUCAGAAGCGAACGCUUGAAACUGGUGCAUCAUGGUUUCCAUUUGCAUUCGGACUGCUUGCAGCUCAAUACUAAUGUCCUUCAAUCUAGUGCCUUCGGCCAUUGGAGUUUCAGGAUAGCAGGAUCUGGGCUCUUGGAUACCACUUGUAAUAGACUAAUAGUAGUAGUGAAUAUAAUGGAAUGUAUAAGGGACUGUAAUAUUGAUAAAAAGCCUCACGGCAGUAGCAACACUUUCUUCGAGGGAAAGGACCUCCACAGUAGCGAUGAACAGUAGAAUAUUCCAGAUGAUAGGUUAAAUCUCCUACAGAGACCUUAUGUACUAUAAUAUGCAUUUUACUAAAAAGUCCUUAAUCUAACUGGGCUAAAGGCCCUUACAGUUUACUUAAA